rnacentral:rRNA from 1 species
UCAGGACGAACGCUGGCGGCGUGCUUCAUACAUGCAAGUCGAACGAGAAGCUGACUUCGGUCAGUGGAAAGUGGCGGACGGGUGAGUAAUAUGUAGAGAAUCUGCCCUUGAGUGGGGGACAACAGAGGGAAACUUCUGCUAAUACCCCAUAUGAGCUAACUUGAAAUAGUUAUCUUGAAAACUCCGGUGCUCAAGGAUGAGUCUGCAUCUGAUUAGCUAGUUGGCGGUGUAAUGGACCACCAAGGCGACGAUCAGUAGCUGGUUUGAGAGGAUGAUCAGCCACAAUGGGACUGAGACACGGCCCAUACUCCUACGGGAGGCAGCAGUAGGGAAUUUUGCGCAAUGGGCGAAAGCCUGAACCGCAGCAACGCCGCGUGAACGAUUAAGCCCUUCGGGGUGUAAAGUUCUGUCAGUAGGGACGAAUUUUGACGGUACCUACAGAGGAAGCACCGGCUAACUCCGUGCCAGCAGCUGC